UUGGUUUUUGCACUAUAACUUUAGUUUAAGUAAAUAGAAAUGUAUGAAAUUUCAUCACAAGGUUUAUGACCAUAAAAGGAAGGUUGGGAAGUUUUGGUCCCAACAGUUUAGGAAUUAGGGGCCAGAAAGGGCCCAAAUAAGCAUUUUCUAGGUUUUCGCACUAUAACUUUAGUUUAAGUAAAUAGAAAUCAAUGAUAUUUUGACACAAAGUUUAUGACCACAAAAGGAAGGUUGGGAUUGAUUUUGGGUGUUUUGGUUCCAACUGUUUAGGAAUUAGGGGCCAAAAAAGGGCCAAAUAAGCAUUAUUCUUGGUUUUCGCACAAUAACUUUAGUACAAGUUAAUAGAAAUCAUUGAAAUUUAAACACAAGGUUUAUCAACACAAAAGGAAGGUUGGGAUUGAUUUUGGAAGUUUUGGUCCCAACAGUUUAGGAAUUAGGGGCCUAGAAAGGGCCCAAAUAAGCAUUUUCUAGGUUUUCGCACUAUAACUUUAGUUUAAGUAAAUAGAAAUCAAUGAUAUUUCGACACAAAGUUUAUGACCACA
rnacentral:lncRNA from 1 species